rnacentral:lncRNA from 1 species
UCUGCCAUUUUCAGCCAUUUUCGGUUGAAUUCGGUCAAUUUUACAUCAAUUCCUGGGAGCACAAACGUUAAAAGGCCUCGGUGGACCCAAAAAAUAUAAAAAACCAAAACUCAUCGACGGCGGAGCUCUCCGGUGUGGCGGCUCCUCUGGCUCAUGUUGCAAUUGGGUGUUUCGCUUCGAUUAACCUGUAGAGAAAAAAACGGUGAUCACAACAGUGAAAAAAUUAUACGAAACGGGAAUCGAGAAGGACCUCAUCGGAGGCAGUUUGUGAAAUUCCCCACGGCAGCGCC